rnacentral:rRNA from 1 species
AGCGUACACGGUGGAUGCCCUGGCAGUCAGAGGCGAUGAAGGGCGUACUAAUCUGCGAUAAGCGCCGGUAAGGUGAUAUGAACCGUUAUAACCGGCGAUACCCGAAUGGGGAAACCCAGUGUGAUUCGUCACACUAUCAUUAACUGAAUCCAUAGGUUAAUGAGGCGAACCGGGGGAACUGAAACAUCUAAGUACCCCGAGGAAAAGAAAUCAACCGAGAUUCCCCCAGUAGCGGCGAGCGAACGGGGAGGAGCCCAGAGCCUGAAUCAGCAUGUGUGUUAGUGGAAGCGUCUGGAAAGGCGCGCGAUACAGGGUGACAGCCCCGUACACAAAAGCGCAUGUGCUGUGAGCUCGAUGAGUAGGGCGGGACACGUGGUAUCCUGUCUGAAUAUGGGGGGACCAUCCUCCAAGGCUAAAUACUCCUGACUGACCGAUAGUGAACCAGUACCGUGAGGGAAAGGCGAAAAGAACCCCGGCGAGGGGAGUGAAAAAGAACCUGAAACCGUGUACGUACAAGCAGUGGGAGCACCCUUUGGGUGUGACUGCGUACCUUUUGUAUAAUGGGUCAGCGACUUAUAUUCUGUAGCAAGGUUAACCGAAUAGGGGAGCCGGAGGGAAACCGAGUCUUAAUUGGGCGUUAAGUUGCAGGGUAUAGACCCGAAACCCGGUGAUCUAGCCAUGGGCAGGUUGAAGGUUGGGUAACACUAACUGGAGGACCGAACCGACUAAUGUUGAAAAAUUAGCGGAUGACCUGUGGCUGGGGGUGAAAGGCCAAUCAAACCGGGAGAUAGCUGGUUCUCCCCGAAAGCUAUUUAGGUAGCGCCUCGUGAAUUCAUCUCCGGGGGUAGAGCACUGUUUCGGCUAGGGGGCCAUCCCGGCUUACCAACCCGAUGCAAACUGCGAAUACCGGAGAAUGUUAUCACGGGAGACACACGGCGGGUGCUAACGUCCGUCGUGAAGAGGGAAACAACCCAGACCGCCAGCUAAGGUCCCAAAGUCAUGGUUAAGUGGGAAACGAUGUGGGAAGGCCCAGACAGCCAGGAUGUUGGCUUAGAAGCAGCCAUCAUUUAAAGAAAGCGUAAUAGCUCACUGGUCGAGUCGGCCUGCGCGGAAGAUGUAACGGGGCUAAACCAUGCACCGAAGCUGCGGCAGCGACACUGUGUGUUGUUGGGUAGGGGAGCGUUCUGUAAGCCUGUGAAGGUGUGUCGUGAGGCAUGCUGGAGGUAUCAGAAGUGCGAAUGCUGACAUAAGUAACGAUAAAGCGGGUGAAAAGCCCGCUCGCCGGAAGACCAAGGGUUCCUGUCCAACGUUAAUCGGGGCAGGGUGAGUCGACCCCUAAGGCGAGGCCGAAAGGCGUAGUCGAUGGGAAACGGGUUAAUAUUCCCGUACUUGGUGUUACUGCGAAGGGGGGACGGAGAAGGCUAUGUUGGCCGGGCGACGGUUGUCCCGGUUUAAGCGUGUAGGCUGGUUUUCCAGGCAAAUCCGGAAAAUCAAGGCUGAGGCGUGAUGACGAGGCACUACGGUGCUGAAGCAACAAAUGCCCUGCUUCCAGGAAAAGCCUCUAAGCAUCAGGUAACAUCAAAUCGUACCCCAAACCGACACAGGUGGUCAGGUAGAGAAUACCAAGGCGCUUGAGAGAACUCGGGUGAAGGAACUAGGCAAAAUGGUGCCGUAACUUCGGGAGAAGGCACGCUGACACGUAGGUGAAGUGAUUUACUCAUGGAGCUGAAGUCAGUCGAAGAUACCAGCUGGCUGCAACUGUUUAUUAAAAACACAGCACUGUGCAAACACGAAAGUGGACGUAUACGGUGUGACGCCUGCCCGGUGCCGGAAGGUUAAUUGAUGGGGUCAGCGCAAGCGAAGCUCCUGAUCGAAGCCCCGGUAAACGGCGGCCGUAACUAUAACGGUCCUAAGGUAGCGAAAUUCCUUGUCGGGUAAGUUCCGACCUGCACGAAUGGCGUAAUGAUGGCCAGGCUGUCUCCACCCGAGACUCAGUGAAAUUGAACUCGCUGUGAAGAUGCAGUGUACCCGCGGCAAGACGGAAAGACCCCGUGAACCUUUACUAUAGCUUGACACUGAACAUUGAGCCUUGAUGUGUAGGAUAGGUGGGAGGCUUUGAAGUGUGGACGCCAGUCUGCAUGGAGCCGACCUUGAAAUACCACCCUUUAAUGUUUGAUGUUCUAACGUGGACCCGUUACCCGGGUUGCGGACAGUGUCUGGUGGGUAGUUUGACUGGGGCGGUCUCCUCCUAAAGAGUAACGGAGGAGCACGAAGGUUGGCUAAUCCUGGUCGGACAUCAGGAGGUUAGUGCAAUGGCAUAAGCCAGCUUGACUGCGAGCGUGACGGCGCGAGCAGGUGCGAAAGCAGGUCAUAGUGAUCCGGUGGUUCUGAAUGGAAGGGCCAUCGCUCAACGGAUAAAAGGUACUCCGGGGAUAACAGGCUGAUACCGCCCAAGAGUUCAUAUCGACGGCGGUGUUUGGCACCUCGAUGUCGGCUCAUCACAUCCUGGGGCUGAAGUAGGUCCCAAGGGUAUGGCUGUUCGCCAUUUAAAGUGGUACGCGAGCUGGGUUUAGAACGUCGUGAGACAGUUCGGUCCCUAUCUGCCGUGGGCGCUGGAGAACUGAGGGGGGCUGCUCCUAGUACGAGAGGACCGGAGUGGACGCAUCACUGGUGUUCGGGUUGUCAUGCCAAUGGCACUGCCCGGUAGCUAAAUGCGGAAGAGAUAAGUGCUGAAAGCAUCUAAGCACGAAACUUGCCCCGAGAUGAGUUCU